rnacentral:rRNA from 1 species
GAUGAACGCUAGCGGCAGGCCUAACACAUGCAAGUCGAGGGGCAGCACAGAAACAGCAAUGUUUUGGUGGCGACCGGCGGACGGGUGCGUAACGCGCAUGCAACCUACCUUUAACAGGGGGAUAACGGAGAGAAAUUUCCACUAAUACCCCAUAACAUCGAUCAAGGCAUCUUGAUUGGUUGAAAACUCCGGUGGUUAAAGAUGGGCAUGCGUUGUAUUAGGUAGUUGGUGAGGUAAUGGCUCACCAAGCCUAGGAUACAUAGGGGGACUGAGAGGUUAGCGCCCCACAUUGGGACUAGGACAAGGGCAAGACUCCUACGGAAGGAAGACUGGAGGAAUAUUAGUCAAUAGGGGCAAAACUGAACCAGCCAUGCCGCGUGCAGGACGACGGCUCUAUGAGUUGUAAACUGCUUUUAGACAGGGAUAAAGCAGAGUAUGUAUACUGUGUUGAAGGUACUGUAAGAAUAAGGAUCGGCUAACUGCGUGCCUGCCGCCGCCGUAA